rnacentral:lncRNA from 1 species
GCUCAAGUACAAGUGUUUAGUUCAACUCGUAUUUAAUAAUAGAAAUUCACGUUUUUUUCUGUUCUUUCCAUUUUUACAGUUGAACUUGAAGGUGCAGUAGUAGUGCGCUGGCUUACUUAUCUUAAUCAUUGAGUUAACGGCAAAAUAUUCUAGAAUCGUAAGGUGGAAUUCUUCUCGCGGAUGAAACUGAAGCCUAUUGAAGAUAGGCACAACGUUAUAUUCCUUUACUGUAAAUGUAAUUAAACAGUGGUUAGUGUGUCACUGUGUGAGAAGUCUGGUGUUGAAAUCCGAGGCAGGGAAGUAUAUUAGUUUAUUACGAAAAAAGAAAAUAUGUUAUUCAUUAGUGCCAAACUAGUGGUCGAACCUGAGGCUGAAGUUAGACCUAAAGAUGGGCCUUGUUUUUGAGAGGGAAAUAAUAUACUUAUAAUUUUAUAUAGUAAUUUGAGAAGUGCCACGGAAAGCUGUGUAGGCAAAAUUUUAGAAUGAAUAAUUUCCUAGGACUAACAUUUGACCAAAAAUUAACGUGGGUCAAACAUACAAAUAACAUUUUAACAAAAAUCUGGAAACGCACAAAUUAUGCAAGAAGUCUAAUAGGCAAAACCCAGGGAACAUCACCUGAUAACAUUAUUAAAAUAUACAAAACAUACAUUCGACCAAUAAUAGAAUAUGCCAGUCUGGCAUGGAUAAACACAGUUCCUAAGCACAUAAACAAACUACAAAGAAUACAAAACACAUUAAUCACCUCAGCAUACAGAGUCCCCUGUAGCACAUCAUCAACAUUUAUGCACAGAUACGCUAAUAUACAAACAAUAGCCGAUAGACUCUUGCCUAAUACUCUAAAUUACUUUGAAAAAAUUGGCAAAAGAACAACCUACUUUGUGAACUCAACUGUUAUUACAUACAUGAUGGAAAUAGACCUAUGCAUUAUGGACUUAUAUAAGCAAUGCAAAACACAGAAUGUAACUGUGGAUACGUACAUGGACAUUGCCCUGAAAGGGGUCGGAGCAAGUGCGGUUUACUCCGAUCCUCUUGUAGUAUCAACAAUCUACAUUCACAGAUGACAUACCACAGUCCGGAAAGGAGGAAGAGGUCCCAGCGCACCUGACCCUCCUAGGUCACAAAGACCUAAAUUCCUAUCAGGAAGAGAGAGAGUGCCACGGAAUGACCCAAUUAGCAUUAUACCAUGAUGCCUUCCAUACAAGGCUUUAGAACCUGUUUGGAUGGAUUUUUCUGACUGUAGUGAUUGAUGACUUGGGAAAAAGGUCAGGAGUGAGGAUGUUAAAGGAAACCCAGGUAUGAUUGGGAGAUUUAUGGUGACAUCAUCUCAACAACCUAUCAGUGUGUGUAUUGUUGUUUUAUCUAAGAGUAAUUUGAUAUAUAGAUUCAAUACAAAGAAACAGCAGUUAAUGGUUGGAAUAUAUGAGCAACUGUAAAUGAAUGUAUAAAGAUUUAAUAAAAGUAAAGAAAAAAUUAUACAAAGUGAUGAAAUGAAAUUAGUUAUAUGUGUUGAAUAAGUAGAAGUUUUUGAUUUAAUUCGUCCAUACUUAUGGUUUGACAUUAAGUUCUACAGUUUAAAAAACUGCUUAAUACAAACCAAGACUUAUUUUAUUUGUUGUCCUUCUAGUGUGAAAGAUGAACAGUUUUGGUAGUACAGGGGAUUUUGAGAUAAUGAUUCUUUAAUCAACUUUAGAAGAGAAGAAAUGGACCAAUACUGAUCCUGUGUCAUGGUUGCAGUCUCCACAAUCAUUUGUGUUAGUAUUCUAUUGUACAGAAAGUUGUUAACUUUGUAAACAUCCCUAAUCAUUUUUUUUUAUAAAUACAAAUGCUACUUAUGGGGAUACCACUAAUUAGGAUCAUGUAGGUACUUUGAUAAUAUUACAUCUUGCGUGUAAAACCUAGUAUUUGCCUAAAAUUUCAGUUGUACGCUGGUCAUAGUACGUGAUAUUUCCUUUGUGACCUAAUAUUUUGUUAAUAAUCCUUAAUGUUUUGAAAGUAACAUGUAAUUGGAUGUGUGUACAGAUGAUGUAUUGUGUCUUAGAAGAUCUUAUACAUGUAUAUGAGGGUUGGCAAGCCAAUCAAUUGACCAGUCAAAACCUACAUUAAAUAUUGUAGAUAACUUCAUAUUAGAUGAGGUUUUCUAAUAAAUUAUCAAGUCCCAAGUCCAACCCCAACUCCUCUACUUAGAGGUGAUGUUGGAAUUACACUCCUACUUAAAGAC